rnacentral:rRNA from 1 species
GUGUCAGCAGCCGCGGUAAUACAGAGAGUGCAAGCGUUAAUCGGAAUUACUGGGCGUAAAGCGCGCGUAGGUGGGUAUUUAAGUCGGAUGUGAAAGCCCUGGGCUUAACCUAGGAAUUGCAUUCGAUACUGGACAUCUAGAGUAUGGUAGAGGGAAGUGGAAUUUCCGGUGUAGCGGUGAAAUGCGUAGAUAUCGGAAAGAACACCAGUGGCGAAGGCGGCUUCCUGGACCAAUACUGACACUGAAGCGCGAAAGCGUGGGGAGCAAACAGGAUUAGAGACCCUGGUAGUCCACGCCCUAAACGAUGAGAACUAGACGUUAGAAGGGUAAAACCUUUUAGUGUCGAAGCUAACGCGAUAAGUUCUCCGCCUGGGGAGUACGGCCGCAAGGUUAAA